CUCGAUAUGGUAUGAAAGUCCAAAAAGUUUAGGAGAGUAAUAUGAUUGGGAAAUUGGAUUUCAAGAUUAGCACAAGUCAUUAUUUGGAAAGUGCGUUAAAAUAAUGCUAUUUUAAGAAAUGAAAUUCCUCUCUCUAUUUCGUGUCAUCAUUAUGUACAAAUAGCAUUACUCGUUUAAAAAAAAUAUUAUACACUGCUUAAAUAUGAAAACAAAUUUAUCAAUGAUGAAAAUAGUGAAAUGCUACUAAGGAUAUAUAAUUAAUAUUAAGCUUUUUAAAUAUUGAUUUUUAAUUCGUCAUUGUUACCUUUCGUAACAAUUUACAUCCUUUUGCAAGCCGGGACACAAAAUAAAGGGCAAUAUUUUGCACGAAAGUUGAAUUUUCUACCAAAAGAGAUGAGAAAAAUGAGUGCACUUUGUUGAAAACAUUUCACAUGGAUAAAAGUGAAUAAGUGAAUACUUUUCUUAAAAAUAAUUUGUUGGCAGAAGAAAUUUUAUCAUUUUCUUCUUGUAAAGUAGGUUUGAAUAAUUUGAAUAUUGUCCAGUCGUGUAAUGUGGGUUUCACAUUAUGAUGAAGAUCUGGUAAAUUGAAGUAAUAGGGUCCACUCAUAAAACUUUUAAUAAUAAAAAAUUAUUUUUAAACAUGUUUGAAUAAUUAAAAAAUAAUAAUA
rnacentral:lncRNA from 1 species